rnacentral:rRNA from 1 species
CGCGGCCUAUCAGCUUGUUGGUGAGGUAAUGGCUCACCAAGGCGACGACGGGUAGCCGGCCUGAGAGGGCGACCGGCCACACUGGGACUGAGACACGGCCCAGACUCCUACGGGAGGCAGCAGUGGGGAAUAUUGCACAAUGGGCGAAAGCCUGAUGCAGCGACGCCGCGUGAGGGAUGACGGCCUUCGGGUUGUAAACCUCUUUCAGCAGGGAAGGAGCGAAAGUGACGGUACCUGCAGAAGAAGCGCCGGCUAACUACGUGCCAGCAGCCGCGGUAAUACGUAGGGCGCAAGCGUUGUCCGGAAUUAUUGGGCGUAAAGAGCUCGUAGGCGGCUUGUCACGUCGGGUGUGAAAGCCCGGGGCUUAACCCCGGGUCUGCAUUCGAUACGGGCAGGCUAGAGUGUGGUAGGGGAGAUCGGAAUUCCUGGUGUAGCGGUGAAAUGCGCAGAUAUCAGGAGGAACACCGGUGGCGAAGGCGGAUCUCUGGGCCAUUACUGACGCUGAGGAGCGAAAGCGUGGGGAGCGAACAGGAUUAGAUACCCUGGUAGUCCACGCCGUAAACGGUGGGAACUAGGUGUUGGCGACAUUCCACGUCGUCGGUGCCGCAGCUAACGCAUUAAGUUCCCCGCC